rnacentral:rRNA from 1 species
CAAGUCGAGCGAGCGGAACCACAGAUUUACUUCGGUAAUGACGUUGGGAAAGCGAGCGGCGGAUGGGUGAGUAACACGUGGGGAACCUGCCCCUAAGUCUGGGAUACCAUUUGGAAACAGGUGCUAAUACCGGAUAAUAAAGCGGAUCGCAUGAUCAGCUUUUGAAAGGCGGCGUAAGCUGUCGCUAAGGGAUGGCCCCGCGGUGCAUUAGCUAGUUGGUAAGGUAACGGCUUACCAAGGCGACGAUGCAUAGCCGAGUUGAGAGACUGAUCGGCCACAUUGGGACUGGGACACGGCCCAAACUCCUACGGGGGGCAGCAGUAGGGAAUCUUCCACAAUGGACGCAAGUCUGAUGGAGCAACGCCGCGUGAGUGAAGAAGGUUUUCGGAUCGUAAAGCUCUGUUGUUGGUGAAGAAGGAUAGAGGUAGUAACUGGCCUUUAUUUGACGGUAAUCAACCAGAAAGUCACGGCUAACUACGUGCCAGCAGCCGCGGUAAUACGUAGGUGGCAAGCGUUGUCCGGAUUUAUUGGGCGUAAAGCGAGCGCAGGCGGAAAAAUAAGUCUAAUGUGAAAGCCCUCGGCUUAACCGAGGAACUGCAUCGGAAACUGUUUUUCUUGAGUGCAGAAGAGGAGAGUGGAACUCCAUGUGUAGCGGUGGAAUGCGUAGAUAUAUGGAAGAACACCAGUGGCGAAGGCGGCUCUCUGGUCUGCAACUGACGCUGAGGCUCGAAAGCAUGGGUAGCGAACAGGAUUAGAUACCCUGGUAGUCCAUGCCGUAAACGAUGAGUGCUAAGUGUUGGGAGGUUUCCGCCUCUCAGUGCUGCAGCUAACGCAUU